rnacentral:tRNA from 1 species
GCCCUGGUGGUGUAGUCCGGUCAAUCAUUCCGCCCUCUCGAGGCGGAGACCCGGGUUCAAAUCCCGGCCGGGGCA